rnacentral:rRNA from 1 species
ACUUAAAUUGAAGAGUUUGAUCAUGGCUCAGAUUGAACGCUGGCGGCAGGCCUAACACAUGCAAGUCGAACGGUAACAGGAAGCAGCUUGCUGCUUCGCUGACGAGUGGCGGACGGGUGAGUAAUGUCUGGGAAACUGCCUGAUGGAGGGGGAUAACUACUGGAAACGGUGGCUAAUACCGCAUAACG